UACAAAGAAAGAGACGCGUCGUGAGCAGCUCAUUACUUUGUGAACUUCUACAGACGAAAGUUAAGUUUUCCAUGGUGAAGAGUUCAAAAAUUAUUUGUCUCCUGCAAUCACUACUAGUUUGUUGUGCAUUACAUUUCCUCUUACGAAGAAAAGAUAGUCAGCGAAAUGUGAUUGUGAGGAUUAAUAUUUGCAAAUAAUAAUAUCAUCGCAUAAUAUCAUAGUCUUUGCUGCUGUUAAUCAUCAUGCCUAUGUCUACUUUCAGUCUAUUAUAUGUGUCAUUAAUUUGGAGAUGAUUAUUAAUAAGACUCUGAAUGAUAAGAAGUACGGAAGAAAUGGUUAGUCCAUUUUCUAACAUAAUGUUGUAAAUUUAAUUGUAUCAUUCAUUAUUAUCCACUGAUGUUCUGAUUUAUCAAGUUUGAAUACUUAAUUUCACACUCGUUCUAUUCAUUAGAAUAGACAUAAUUGCAUAUCUAUUGUGUGUUAGCCUUUCAUAUAAUAGUAAGAACCAUACUCUAUGGGGAAAUUUUGAAUUAAUUUUUGUUUCUUUAAACCUAAUUGCUCUUGUUUUUCGAUUAAAGCAACUGUAAUAACGCUAGAGUGACCAAAAUAUUGCACGAUUUUAUACUUUAGCGAUCAGAAAUAAGAGAUUUUAAAUUUAUAUU